rnacentral:lncRNA from 1 species
UUUGGGUGGAAGAGUGAACAUGGAAGUGUGAGAUGUUAAGUAGUGAUAUUGAAUAAGGGUCUGGAUAUAAAGAUCUGGAGUUCUGUUGCUAAGGAAACACAUUUGUGAAUUAUCAGCAUGUGUGUGGUAGCUGACGUCAUGGAAAUGGAUGGGUCUUCUGAAAAAGAGAGUGCAGAAUGAGGAGAAAGCUGACGACGGACUUUUAAGGGACAAGAGGAGAAGGAGGAAGCUUACAAGGAGUUUGAGAAGGAGUCAUGUGCUGUCAUAGAAACCAAGAUAGAGCGUUUAGAGUUGGAGGGAGUAUCCUCGGUGUCAACUGCUACAAAGAGAUCAAGGAAGAUAAGGAUUUGACAAGUCAGAUACAGCACAAGGGCAAGGAGCAGAGCAGAGGCCAGACUGAGGAGUGCAAACAAUGAAUGCUAGAAGCUGUGGAAAGCAGGAAAAUAAUCCACAGGACCAUUAUGGGCCACACCUGGUGCCAAUGUGUUGAUGAAAAGUCAUUCAGGAAAGGAAGUCCAAAAACAUGGUUGCCAUUGAAUAUUCUCUCUAGGACAGGGAGCAGGAAGUCUGCAUACUCGCCUUUUCAUACUCCCCUUCCAGUUGUCUCACAGAGAAUCUUCCCGUAGGAGACAGUAGCACUGGGAAUGACAAGGACUGUCCUUGGAGAUAGCUCCUACAAACGUGGUGGCGGCAGCAGGCAAGUCUGAGCAACACGGUUUGGGCGGUAGGGUUCCUGGACUCGUGUAACACUAGUGGGAUUUUAAAAAAUUUAUUCUAUCAUUUUCUUUCCAUCUGAGCCAAGAACCUUAGAAAAGGUUCUAUUCUGAGUACAUAGCCAAGUGGCUAUGCAGUGACAAGUGCAGGAUUGUCAAUGCGGUUGUUUUAAAGUUAGCCUCUCAGGCAUUGCGAUUGAAACAUAACCCUGAUGGCUUGCACAGUGUAAUAAAAUGCUUCACAAAAGGUUGCA